UUGACCUCAAAUCAGGUAGGACUACCCGCUGAACUUAAGCAUAUCAAUAAGCGGAGGAAAAGAAACUAACAAGGAUUCCCCUAGUAACUGCGAGUGAAGCGGGAAAAGCUCAAAUUUAAAAUCUGGGGGUCUUCUUUUUGGCCUUCCGAGUUGUAAUCUAGAGAAGUGUUAUCCGCGCUGGACCAUGUACAAGUCUCCUGGAACGGAGCGUCAUAGAGGGUGAGAAUCCCGUCUUUGA
rnacentral:rRNA from 1 species